GAUGAACGCUGACAGAAUGCUUAACACAUGCAAGUCAACUUGAACUUCGGUUUGGGUGGCGGACGGGUGAGUAACGCGUAAAGAACUUGCCUCACAGAUAGGGACAACAUUUGGAAACGAAUGCUAAUACCUGAUAUUAUGAUUUUAGGGCAUCCUAGAAUUAUGAAAGCUAUAUGCGCUGUGAGAGAGCUUUGCGUCCCAUUAGCUAGUUGGAGAGGUAACGGCUCACCAAGGCGAUGAUGGGUAGCCGGCCUGAGAGGGUGAUCGGCCGCAAGGGGACUGAGACACGGCCCUUACUCCUACGGGAGGCAGCAGUGGGGAAUAUUGGACAAUGGACCAAGAGUCUGAUCCAGCAAUUCUGUGUGCACGAUGAAGUUUUUCGGAAUGUAAAGUGCUUUCAGUUGGGAAGAAAAAAAUGACGGUACCAACAGAAGAAGUGACGGCUAAAUACGUGCCAGCAGCCGCGGUAAUACGUAUGUCACAAGCGUUAUCCGGAUUUAUUGGGCGUAAAGCGCGUCUAGGUGGUUAUGUAAGUCUGAUGUGAAAAUGCAGGGCUCAACUCUGUAUUGCGUUGGAAACUGUGUAACUAGAGUACUGGAGAGGUAAGCGGAACUACAAGUGUAGAGGUGAAAUUCGUAGAUAUUUGUAGGAAUGCCGAUGGGGAAGCCAGCUUACUGGACAGAUACUGACGCUGAAGCGCGAAAGCGUGGGUAGCAAACAGG
rnacentral:rRNA from 1 species